GUUCAAAGAGUACAUUUGCUUGAUGGCACUAUUGGAGGAGUUUUAUUGCUGGAAUUGUUUAAGAGAGAUGGAAUGGGCACUAUGGUAGCUAGUGAUCUUUAUGAGGGAACACGAAUGGCUAGAGUGUCUGAUCUUCGUGGAAUUAGACAAAUUAUACAACCUUUAGAAAUGGCUGGUACCUUGGUUCGUAGAACUGAUGAAGAGCUACUUGAAUCACUGGACUCGUUUGUUGUUGUUGAGAGAGAAGGUCAAAUCAUUGCAUGUGCUGCUCUCUUCCCUUUCUUUGAAGAGAGAUGUGGAGAGAUUGCUGCCAUUGCAGUUUCUGCAGAGUGCCGAGGACAAGGGCAAGGCGACAAAUUGCUUGAUUACAUGGAAAAGAAGGCCGCCUCCCUAGGACUGGAUAGGCUCUUUCUGCUGACAACACGAACGGCAGACUGGUUUGUGAGGCGUGGUUUCUCAGAAUGUUCAUUUGAAUCAAUACCUGAAAAGAGGAGAAGUAAGAUAAAUCUAUCCCGAAAAUCGAAGUACUACAUGAAGAAGCUGUUGCCAGAUAGGAACAGGAUUGGUAGCAUCGAUAGGGCGUUUGCUUGAGGCUUGAUGGAGCAAUGUAGAAGCAUUCAUUCUAUAUGUUGGUCAGGAAUAAAAUGUCUUGAGCAGAAGAAAGCAAAAUUUCCUCUUGGCAACCUGGUUCUCAUGGUCCUUGUUUUAUCUUGUAUCAAUGUCGUCUGUCGCCUCGUCUUACCAUGUGGGGUCAUAAUGUAUCUUUGUUCACCAAGACAUGUAUAUAUUCU
rnacentral:misc_RNA from 1 species